GGUAAGAUGGCCGAGUGGUUAAGGCGGUAGACUCAAGCGUCAGCUUGCUUGCCAAACGCAAGAAAAAUUCUACUGGAGCAAUCCGCCUGGGUUCGAGUCCCAGUCUUAUCA
rnacentral:tRNA from 1 species